rnacentral:rRNA from 1 species
CAGCCGCCGCGGUAAUACCGGCGGCCCGAGUGGCGGUCACUAUUAUUGGGCUUAAAGCGUCCGUAGCCGGGUUGGGAAGUCCUCCGGGAAAUCUGGCCGCUUAACGGUCAGAAUGCCGGAGGAUACUCCCAGCCUAGGGAGCGGGAGAGGCCGAGGGUAUUCCCGGAGUAGGGGGGAAAUCCUAUAAUCCCGGGAGGACCACCUGUCGCGAAGGCGCUCGGCUGGAACGCGUCCGACGGUGAGGGACGAAGGCCAGGGGAGCAAACCGGAUUAGAUACCCGGGUAGUCCUGGCUGUAAACGAUGCGGACUUUGUGUCGGACAAGCUAUGAGCUUGUCCGGUGCCGGAGGGAAACCGUUAAGUCCGCCGCCUGGGGAGUACGGCCGCAAGGCUGAAACUUAAAGGAAUUGGCGGG